rnacentral:rRNA from 1 species
GUGGGGAAUAUUCCGCAAUGGACGAAAGUCUGACGGAGCAACGCCGCGUGAGUGAUGAAGGUUUUCGGACUGUAAAGCUCUGUUGUUUAGGACGAAAGUGCCUGUUGCAAAUAGUUACAGGUAUUGACGGUACUGAACGAGGAAGCCAUGGCUAACUACGUGCCAGCAGCCGCGGUAAUACGUAGGUGGCAAGCGUUGUCCGGAAUUAUUGGGCGUAAAGAGCAUGUAGGCGGGAAUCUAAGUCUGUUGUGAAAAUGCGGGGCUCAACCCCGUAUUGCGAUGGAAACUGGGUUUCUUGAGUGCAGGAGAGGAAAGGGGAAUUCCCAGUGUAGCGGUGAAAUGCGUAGAUAUUGGGAGGAACACCAGUGGCGAAGGCGCCUUUCUGGACUGUGUCUGACGCUGAGAUGCGAAAGCCAGGGUAGCGAACGGGAUUAGAUACCCCUGUAGUCC